UUCGAUGCCGAACGGGUGAGUAACACGUGGGUGAUCUGCCUUGCACUUCGGGAUAAGCUUGGGAAACUGGGUCUAAUACCGGAUAGGACAGCUGUUUAGUGUCAUUGUGGAAAGUUUUUUUCGGUGCAAGAUGAGCUCGCGGCCUAUCAGCUUGUCUGGUGGGGUAAUGGCCUACCAAGGCGUCGACGGGUAGCCGGCCUGAGAGGGUGUACGGCCACAUUGGGACUGAGAUACGGCCCAGACUCCUACGGGAGGCAGCAGUGGGGAAUAUUGCACAAUGGGCGGAAGCCUGAUGCAGCGACGCCGCGUGGGGGAUGAAGGCCUUCGGGGUGUAAACUCCUUUCGACAGGGACGAAGCGUAAGUGACGGUACCUGUAUAAGAAGCACCGGCUAACUACGUGCCAGCAGCCGCGGUAAUACGUAGGGUGCGAGCGUUGUCCGGAAUUACUGGGCGUAAAGAGCUCGUAGGUGGUUUGUCGCGUCGUCUGUGAAAUUCCGGGGCUUAACUCCGGGCGUGCAGGCGAUACGGGCUGACUUGAGUGCUGUAGGGGAGACUGGAAUUCCUGGUGUAGCGGUGAAAUGCGCAGAUAUCAGGAGGAACACCGAUGGCGAAGGCAGGUCUCUGGGCAGUAACUGACGCUGAGGAGCGAAAGCAUGGGUAGCGAACAGGAUUAGAUACCCUGGUAGUCCAUGCCGUAAACGGUGGGCGCUAGGUGUAGGGGGCUUCCACGUCUUCUGUGCCGUAGCUAACGCAUUAAGCGCCCCGCCUGGGGAGUACGCCGCAAGGCUAA
rnacentral:rRNA from 1 species